CCCCCCCCCCCAAAACCCAAUUUUGCUAGCUGUCUUACUAAUUCUUAUUUAUUUUUUUACUUUUGAUUUUCUUUUUUAGCUGGCAAGCGUUUGUAGGUUUACACAAAUAGGAAAAUAAACUAUCUGGUUUAGGUAUCUGGUUUUAUUGCCAAAUUGUGGUCUAUGGUGUUUGGUUUAUUUGGAGCUUGUUGGGUGAUGUUGAAGAAUGUUGUCGAGUUGUUAGCUUGCUGGCCUGAUCGUUUUUGUCAUCAUCAGAAUGGGAAUUUGUGGAUGGUUGCCCCUGCAUUGCUUGAUGUGGUGCUUAUGGAGAGAGAAGGACAAUUGGAAUUUUGAGGAUACGGAGAGAGCUAUGCCUGAUCUCAAAUUAAUUAUCUUUAGAACCCAUUUGGACUGGAUGUCAGCUUUGCAUAGUCAGCCAUUAUGUUCUGUUUUUGAUUUGAUAGAUUCAUGUAACUUGCAUGAUUGAUUGUUUGGUAAUUGAAGGUGUUUGCUCAAUGGGUUCGGCAUCUACAAAGCAAGAUAUAAUAUUGAACCUUAUGUUGCUUAUUCAUAUAUCCAUACACUUUUAACUUGGAAGAUUUUAAUUGAUGGUUAGUAGGUCCAUGCGUAAAAAUAAGUGUGGGGCAAAUUUAUGUUUUCAGCGUGCAUAGUACGGUUUCAUCAUGGUCCUUUUAUGGAAAGGGCUUGCAAUCAUCUUUGUAGUGUGUAGCAGUGCAGGUAAACAUCAUCUAAGACAAGAAGAAAUUUCUUAUCUUUUAUAUGUUCUCUUAAACGCAUUUGCAACUGAUCUAUGCUCAAAUUCUCCUCAAUUUCAACUGCUAAUUUGAGGAUUUCUGUUAUCAAUCUUUUAACAUCAAAAUCCUUAGACACACACACCCACAUUUUCAAUUGAAAAUGCCUAACUACCUGCUCAUCAUUAUACACCAACUUGGCAAUUGUGGUCUACCCCAAACCUCCAAUCCCAACUCACUGACAUUUCCUUCAGCAUCAUGCUGCAUCAAAAUAUUUAUUAUCUGUUUUUUGUCAUCAUCCCUACCGAUGAUAUUUUGAGAAGGAAUAAAGGAGUGGUCAUGUUCCUCCAGUACAUUGUUGUCUUCCUAUCUUCAAGUCGUGCAGCAAGAUUGAAUUCAGCCUUAAGAUCUGAAAUAUCAUCUACUCUCUCUCUAAUACCCUUGAAUUUAUGUGCCAUUUCAAAACGGAAUACAAGUGGAUUAGAACCAGAAAAGAAAUAACCCACCUUUUUGCGAGUGCUCCUGCUUCUGUUCAUUAUUUCCUUCUGCAGAAUUUGAUAUUGAAAUUCAUCUAGGACACUCUCUGCAUCAUUAAGGACAUCUUUUAGCUGUCCUAGCCAAUGGUUCAGCCUAUGGUCACAUUCUUGCUUCUCCUUAGCAUCUAAGAGUACGGCCUUAAUGGCUAACACGGUGCACUCAAUCUUUUUCAGAUCGCUUUGAACGCCCCAUGCUGAGCUGAGCUCCUUGUAAAUAAGGGAUCCAAGCAGCUCCACAAUCUUCCCUGCAAUGCAAUAGGCAUUUACAGCCAUGUUCUUGUGGUGGUGGGAUGGAAAGGAAUUUGUUGGUUAAGUGAAUCAAUGCCUUUUAAGUAUUUGCUGCUGUUUUUAUUACAGAGAAAUUCCAAGAGGGCAGAUAUAAUUGCAAAUAAGUGAAGCAAAAUUGUACGUAGGUGGAUUUACUGCACCAUGGAUCAUGACUGGACUUGGCACACAAUUCUUUUUAGGCCGUAGGCAAAGCAUGGAAUAGGAAUGACUUAAGCAUUGAGACAAAGUAUAUAUCUUUUAAUUUGUUGGGGCGGGAUAAUUUUCCUUUAGGUGUAAGUAAAUUAACUAUUCGAUACAUACUCUAGUUGAGAAUAGAUUUGGUGGAAUCUCAUGAUUUGUUUGAAAGCAAAAAGAGGGGGUUAGAUAGAACCUGUGACAUACUAUGCAAAGAAUGAUGCCUUUCUUUCCAAUGUUGGCCAGUGUAGGGGGCAUUCUCUGAGUUGAUAAGUGAUGUUGACUAACGAUAUUCUCCCUUAAAUUGAAUACCUAUAUCAGUACUAGUACUAUGGAUUACAAUUGGCUUGGAAUUGGGAUUAGAAUCGGAUUCCUAGCUAGCAGUUCAAUGUAUUACAUCAAAGAACAAUUCAUAUCGUCCACUUCUAAUUAAUUAAAUCAAUGAUUGCAGGUAUCUACUUGCACAAACAAUGGUAAAUUUAAUCAUUUAACCACACAAUUCUAACACUCCUUUAAUCAUUUAACCACAAAAUUCUAACAUGCUUGAUUUGAAACAGAUGAUGAGUAAGUUCAGAGGAAAAUGAUCUUUCUUUUUCUUUUUCUUUUUUUAAAAUUUAAACUUUAUUUAGCCUUGGUUGAUGACUUCUUAAAAAGGAUGAGAAGCUUUUUUGUUUUCUGUGGCUGUAAUGUUCUUUUGUUAAUACUUUUAAAAAAAUGAAGAAUUGUUGAAAGAGUGAAUGACAAUAAUUUAUGGUAGGGAUAAAUGAGCAAACAACACAAGCUUGUUCUGGGGUGGUUGAGAUGACAUCAAGGUAAAGAAAAAAAUGGUAUUUGAUUUAGAAGAAGUAAAUAAGAGAGAACUUACAAGGAACCCUAGAGACAAUACAUAAAUUGGGGAAGAGUAAAUUCAUACUCUUACAAAAACUAGUAAAACCAUAAUAACCAAACACUGAAUCAAACCUUCUACUUCUUCCUCUCCUGUAUUUCUAAGUCAAAUAUGGCUGCUCAUCGAAAUCAAUUCUUUAUCCAAGAAAGAAAAUAAGAGAGAAAAAGAGAUACAUAGAGUCAGAGAGAUAAUUCUACUGCUUAAUUAAGAUUUAAACUUGUCUAUCUAUUGUUCUAUACAUCUCUAUAGAAAUGAUAAAAGGGAUAUCAAAAAGACAUUAGCAUUUAUAUUUAGGGAAAGUGAUUAAAGAUGUGAAGUGGGUAUAGGGUUUUCUUUCUCAUUCUUGUUGAGGACGUGCUAGCCAGAGAGAGCUCAGAGCUCGGAGACGAUGGAAGUACUCUGCAAUUGCCAGAAAGCACCUUGCAGCUUGACAGGUUGUGAGGAUUUGAUGCAGCCCGGGUUGUCUGGUGCCUCAGAUUAUCUGCCUGUAUAAUUGGAAUCUCAUAUUUUUGCCUAAACCGCCUUAACAGUCUCAGAGAGUUCGCCAAGGACAGUGUCCGCUUGUUAAGCGCUGCCACAAGUUCGAUUGCAAAGGUCAUGUGAAGAAGCACUAAUUUGCUAGAGGUGGAAGGCAGAUGGGUCAGAGUGAUAAUGUUAAAGAGGAAUGCUUAGCAAGUAGCUUCUCAGGUCUUAUUUGAUUGGCUUGGAAUUGGGAUUAGAAUCUGAUUCCCAGCUAGCAGUUCAAUGGAUUACAUCAGAGAACAAUUCAUAUCCUCCACUUCCAACAAAUUUAAUCAAUGAUUGCAGGUAUCUACUUACACAGACAAGGACAGAGAGACAAGUAGAUGUGCAGAAAGAUGAACUAAAACAGAGGGAGCAACCAAAUGCAGAUGGUAAAUACUUCGUGACAGAUAUCCCACCUUUUUUAUUACUUCUUUCUUUUGGGACCAUAUAAGGAUGAUGCAAAUGCAUACUGCAUACCCCUAACUUUUUGUAUAUAUUUUUGUUGGUUGUAACUUAUUUUGGUGCAUAACACACUUCGAUUGUAUUUUGCUAAGUUAUUAAGCCCACUCCGUUUGCAUGCCAAAAAAAAAG